AACGCACCCUGCGCUCCUUGGUAUUCCGAGGAGCAUGCCUGUUUGAGUGUCAUGAACAUCAUCAACCUCUCUCUUCCUUUCGGGGAAGGGCGGAGGCUUGGACUUUGGGAGGUUAUGUUGGCUUUUUAUUAAGUUGACUCCUCUUAAAUACAUUAGCUCAGUGUUUAAUGCUUAGAGCGGUUCACGGUGUGAUAAUUAUUUACACUUCAACCAAUUUAAGUUAGCUGGCUUCUAAUCGAUCCUUAGUGAUCACUUUGUGUAUUUGACCUCAAAUCAGGUAGGACUACCCGCUGAACUUAA
rnacentral:rRNA from 1 species